UGGUGGAGUGAUUUGUCUCGUUAAUUUCGUUAACGAACGCGAUCUCACCUGCUAAAGAGUACGACGAAUAAUUUAUUCGUACGUGAUUUCUUAGAGGGACUAUCGCUGUGUAGGCGAUGGAGGUUCGAGGCAAUAACA
rnacentral:rRNA from 1 species